rnacentral:rRNA from 1 species
GAGCACGUAGGUGGGUUUGUAAGUCAGAUGUGAAAGCCUUCUGUUCAACGGAAGAAUUGCAUCUGAAACUACAAACCUUGAGUAUAGGAGGGGAGAAUGGAACUUCUGGUGGAGCGGUGAAAUGCGUAGAUAUCAGAAGGAACGCCGGCGGCGAAAGCGAUUCUCUGGCCUAUUACUGACACUCAGUGUGCGAAAGCUAGGGGAGCAAACGGGAUUAGAUACCCCGGUAGUCCUAGCCGUAAACGAUGGGCACUAAGUAGAGGGGU